AGCUCACCAAAGGGAGGAUGAGCGGGUGAAGGGAGGUUAGAAGUUGCCAAUUCUCCAACCGGUGUAUUUAGGCCCGACAAAUCAAACUGCAUUGAGGAAUUCGACAAGCUGUCAGCACUGCAUUGUCGAAAAUGAAGAUUUUUUUUCUUCAGCUUGUUUAUUUCCUCAACUUUGGUAGCCAUUCUGAUUUUCUAAAACGAAAUACCAAGCUUAUCCUACGAUGUUCGCUGCAGCUACUAAACAGUCCAAUUUGGAUUAGUCAAGUCCCUCC